GCGAGACUCUGUCUCAAAAAACAAACAGACGAACAACAACAAAAAAACCCCAAUAAAAACACAAAACACUGACAAUACCAAAAGCUAGCUAGAAUGUGGAGCAUCAGGAACUGUAAUCCACUGAACAAUGGUAUAGCCACUUUGGAAGAUAGUUUGGCAGUUUCUUACAAUGUUACAUAUGGGCUUACCAUAUGAUCCAGCAAUCAUGCACCUAGGUAUUUACUCAAAAACUUAUGUACACACAAAACCUGUAUACAAAUGCUGAUAGCAGCUUUAUUCAUAAUGGCCAAACACAGGAAAAUGUCCUUCAAUUGGCAAGAUUUGCCUUCAUAAGUGAGUGAAUAAACAUACUGUGGUACAUCCAGAGUGAAAUAUAAUUCAGUGAUGAAAAGAAAUGAUCUAUAAGGUCACAAAAAGACAUAGAGGAAUCUUACAUGGAUAUUGUAAAGUAAAAGAACAGUCUGAAAAGGUUACAUACUGUAUGCUAAAUAUAUGUCACUUGGAAAACACAAAACUAUAGAGAAAGCAAAAAGAUCAGUGGUUGCCAGGGGUUUGGAGAGAAAGAGGGAGAGAUAAAUAGGUGGAACACAAGGGAUUUUUAGGGCAGUGAAACUGUUCUGUACAACAUGGCAAUGGUGGCUACAUGACAUUAUACAUUUGUCAAAACUCAUACAACUAUAUAACACAAAAAAUGAGCCCUAAUGUAAACUAUGGACUUUAGUUUAUAAUAAUGUAUCAGUAUUGGCUCAUCAAUUGUAACAAACAUACCAUACUAAUUAAAGAUGCUAAUGGAGAAAUCCUGUGUGGAGGUAGACGAGGUACAUGGGAACACUGUAAUAUCAGCUGAAUUUAUCUUUUCUUUUUUUUUUUUCGAGACAGAGUAUCACUCUGUCUCAAAGAGCAACAUGGUGAAACCCCAUCUGAUGCCCUAGAUAUGAGUACAUCUGAGAGAUUUAUUCCCUAGACCCUGGAACAUUUAAAACAACUUGGCGCUCUAAUCUCUUUUUCCUUUCCAUGCUACUUAUGUAUUACAGGAAAGGUCUACUCAUACUUCCUUCCAGGACUUGCUGGGUUUUUUUUUUUUUUUCCAAGCCGAUCCCUGGUGUUUUAUACUCAGGAUCUCAUAGCUGAUUCCCCUUAUGCUAAUGGACAUAUAUCAUAUCAAAUAGGGAAGUGCCCAUAUCUCAGAUACAGAGGGAAUUUUAGAGCAAGGAUCAAAAUCAGUCUAUUUAAAUGAGGUAAAUGUCCAUGCAGAAGAGAUUCUUAGGACAACAAAGUGGUAGGUCAAAGACCAUGCCCACAAACUCUUUCGGAGGCAGAAAAGGUUUGGGGGUUUGAAAUGGGCUGUGUGGUACAGAGUAGAGAAUGGUGCAAGAGGCACUGGACAGCAGAGGCCUGUGACCUAUCCAGAGACCCACAAAGGCCUGCUCUGGAACCUUUAGUUUCAAUGAGCCAAAAGAAUAACACAUGCCAGGAGAGGUGGUAGAAGCUGUUUCAUGGGCACUACAACUGACAGGAAAAGGUUAUUUUUUUUUCCUUUUCUUGAGGCCUGAUCCUGGGUCAUGGAACUUGCUGGACCUCUGAAAUCUUCCUCUCCUUGGUAUAUUCUUCCAUGAAAACAGCAGAAGGCAGGGCAUGGUGGUUCACGCCUGUAAUCCCUACACUUUGGGAGGCCGAGGCG
rnacentral:lncRNA from 1 species